UACAGAGGGUGCGAGCGUUAAUCGGAAUUACUGGGCGUAAAGGGCGCGUAGGUGGUUAUGUAAGUGAGAUGUGAAAUCCCCGGGCUUAACCUGGGAACUGCAUCUUAUACUGCAUAGCUUGAGUACAUGAGAGGGUAGUGGAAUUUCCGGUGUAGCGGUGAAAUGCGUAGAUAUCGGAAGGAACACCAGUGGCGAAGGCGGCUACCUGGCAUGAUACUGACACUGAGGCGCGAGAGCGUGGGGAGCAAACAGG
rnacentral:rRNA from 1 species